rnacentral:misc_RNA from 1 species
GCUCCUGCUCAUUUUCUGCAGCUCUCUGCCUCUGUCUAGAAGUUUCUUCAACCAAAUCUUCAACUCUCUGCCGCAUCUCAGUCAGGAUAAGAUUUGUACCCAGAGCAAAUCUUUCCAUUUCCUCUAACUUAAUAGACAUGUUUUCAAUAAGGAGCGUCUUCCUUUUAAUCUCUUCUUCACCUACUGUUACCUUGUCUUUCUCUAUAGCAGUUUCAGAUUCCGCCAUUAUAAUCCUCUUGACAAGACUUUCCAUAACAUCUGUAACCAAUUGUACACUUCUGAGUAAUUCACUCAUAUAAGAUCCAUCUUGUUCAUCAAGUUGACCAUGUUUACUCGAAAGUCUAAUCCAUAAUUCAUCAUCAGCAUCAUUAAAAGAUGAGAGAUCAACAUCCCUAGUCCAACUGGAUAAUGGUAUACCAUUUUUAUCAACAAUACCCACUCCAUCUAGUUCUUUGAUGCCGCAUGAGGAAUGGGCCAAAUCUGGAACAGCCACGACUCUGGCUUUAGCUUUCAAGUACGUCAUCAAUGUUGUAGCAGUUCUUACUCUAUGCCAUAGAACAUCUAACUCCUUCUUUGUAUCUUCUUCUGAUCCCUGAAUAGAAGCUUUUACCUCCAACAGUUUUGCUUGUAAAGCAUCCACUUGGGACUGGCUUUUCUCCAUCUCUAGCUUCCAAGUAACGUCAGUUUGAGUCAAUUGGGAUUUUAAAGCUGAGAGAUCAAUAUUUCCCUCCCCCGCCAUCACCUUAUCAAGUCACUGAUGUGAGUUCAGGAACCUCGCAAAAUUGAGGAUAAUUUUGGGUGUUGAUGAUGAUGAUGCUUACAGUCUCAUAGAAAAUUAUCAAUGG